rnacentral:lncRNA from 1 species
UUUUCAAAUAAGCUGUACAUAAACUAAAUAAUUGUAAAAUUUAAGCGAUUUCUGUAAUUAGGUUAUUUUUUUAUUUCAAUAUAACCUCUAUUUUUCCUAUUAGUUUAACAGAAAAAAAAGGACAUUAACAAAAAUGUAUGCUUCUUUCGGAGGCAGAUUGUGAGCUUAAAUGAACGGUGACCUCAUUUUUUUAUUUCAUUUUUCUUUUAAGUAUAUGAUAAAGUUAAUUUAUAAAAAGAUAUAGCGAAAUCCUAUAUUAGAAAAAAAAAAAUGAUUUAUACCCAGGAGCCCCCUUAA